GCACCCUGCAGUUGAAAUGUAUCCUCAGUUGGUUACGUUUCAUCGAGCUAAUCCUCAUGCAGCAAAGCGUCUAGAGAACAGAAGAACAAAGAUUUUGCAGGAGUAAGGAAGGCAUGGCGAAAUGCGAGCCGACGGUGCAAUAAACUGACCAGGUUUCGGUUGCUCUGUUCUUGUCGGGAGUCUAGUGCUGAACCAAAGCAAGCUUAUGGAAUGAAAAUGUGCUAAUAAAUAUAACUCGAGGUAUGUUGGCGCAGAAAGCUUCACAGAAGAGCAAAUUGAGUGCAGGAUUGCAAACACCAAAACAGACAACAACAACAAGAGGGAACUAUGUUUCAUCAAAUCAUGCAAGACUUACCUAGUGAUAAUCAGCCAGGGAAGGAAGGAGCUUGAAGAAGAGUAAUGCACGGCCAGCUCCAAGCCGGGGAUCGAGAAGACGAUGGAGAUGAGACCGGAGCCACCGAGAGAGGAGAAGAGAGGAGUGCGAGGGAAGCAAUAUUACCAUGAGAAAGAACCCCUAGCUCCCUCCGUCAGAACGUACAUGUGAAGGAAGGGAUCCUGUUCCUGUGGCCAGCCUCGCUGCCCUGAGCUGUGCAUCAUCGAUCUCCUUCCUUUCUUUCUUUCAAGUAUGGGAUCAGGCAGCUCAUCAGCUAUGGGGCUGGGAGCACAUGCCAUGCCAUGCACAAGCACAAGCAAGAUGGAUGGACCUUCAACAAUUGUUGCGUGGCUGCAGGCUUUUUCCCCACCACUGCAGAAAAAGUGGCAAGCGAAAAGCCGGACCAGAGCAUUUGAUAAUGCUGUGUCUUGCUUAGCCGGCCUGUAGCAAUCAUGGGACCUUGUGGGUCGUUACGUGUGUUCGCUGUUGCACGGCCGGCCAAGCUGCAGUUAAAAGCAAGCAGCGGCAGAUAAUUGGGUAUCAUCAUCAUCUCCUUCUGUAUAUGCUGUGCUUUGCUUCUUGUGUUAGCACUUGUUGACUCAAGAAGAGGUUAAUUAUUACUCCAUCCGUUUCAUAAUUCUUGUUGAAAUA